ACCUCAAAUCGGGUAGGACUACCCGCUGAACUUAAGCAUAUCAAUAAGCGGAGGAAAAGAAACUAACAAGGAUUCCCCUAGUAACUGCGAGUGAAGAGGGAUAAGCUCAAAUUUAAAAUCUGGCGGUCUUUGGCCGUCCGAGUUGUAAUUUAGAGAAGUGUUACCCGCGCUGGACCGUGUACAAGUCUCCUCGAACGGAGCAUCAUAGAGGGUGAGAAUCCCGUACAUGACACGGACUGCCAGGGCUUUGUGGUGCGCUCUCGACGAGUCGAGUUGUUUGGGAAUGCAGCUCAAAAUGGGUGGUAAAUUCCAUCUAAAGCUAAAUACAGGCGAGAGACCGAUAGCGAACAAGUACCGUGAGGGAAAGAUGAAAAGAACUUUGGAAAGAGAGUUAAACAGUACGUGAAAUUGUUGAAAGGGAAACGCUUGAAGUCAGUCGCGUCCUUCAAAGAUCAACCUGGCCUUUUCGCUUGGUGCACUCUUUGGAGGACGGGUCAGCAUCAGUUUCGACCGGGAGAAAAAGUUGGUGGGGAGGUGGCACCUUCGGGUGUGUUAUAACCCNCU
rnacentral:rRNA from 2 species